GGUUUGGGCUCCUCUGGGGGAGGAGGAGGAGGAGAAGGAGGAAGGGGGUGAAGAAAGGAGGAGGAGGAAGAUGAAGGUGGAGGAGGAAGAUGAAGGAGGAGGAUGAAGAGGAGGAGGAGGAUGAAAUGAAGGUGGAGGAUGAAGGUGGUGGAUGAUGAAGAGGAGGAGGAUGAAGAGGAGGAGGAGGAUGAAAUGAAGGUGGAGGAUGAAGGUGGUGGAUGAUGAAGAGGAGGAGGAUGAAGGAGGGUUGAAGAUGACGAUGAUGAGGAGGAGGAGGAUGACGAUGAAGGCUCAUCCCAGCGCCGCCGGGUCCCGCAGCAGCUGGGUCAGGAUGAUGAU